GAAGAUAUAGUUCAAAUGGUAGAGCAAAUGCUUAGCGUGCAUGAGGUCUUGGGUUCAAUCCCUGGUACCUCCU
rnacentral:tRNA from 1 species